rnacentral:tRNA from 1 species
GGGAAUAUAGCUCAAUGGUAGAGCAUUUGCCUCACAUGCACAAGGGCCUGGGUUUGAUCACAGCAUUGCCA